AAGAGAAGAUAACUCUGCAAUACGCAAAGACGGAAUAGCUUUGAUAAAUCAUUUCUGAAAAGAAAACCAUGUCUUGCGGGACAAUUAGGUUCAGUGUACCUGUUAAACAGAGUGUCUUGGCCCAACUGUCCUUAAGAGUAUCCGAAGGGGAGGUUACACUAAAUAGAAAAACAAAAUACAGUGGGACAGGGAUCCCUAAACGCUAAUAUUCAUGAACCCUUUAUAUAAAUAAAUACUCUGUUAAUAUACUCAUUGACACUAUGACUGACGUCAUAUUAUUUAGUGAUAGCGUUGCUAGGCAACCUCUAACAUUACUUUUAUCAAUGGGUGACAAUCUGAAUUACUCAUAAUAGGUCCUGGUCAUUCGAAUUUGAUAUGCAUGCACAUAGGGGUUGAUGAGAACGAAAGUGAGCGUUACCUCCUAGAUAUCGAGGAUGAGUGUUCCUAUGUAUCAUUUGGCAAUCCUGAAAGUGGAGGACGGUUAUGACGAAGUGGAACUAUAUGAGUCAUCUACUGAAAUAUUAGUGUAGUGUAUUGUAUGCUCCCUCUUUCACAAGUCAGUUAAAGUUACAAGGUAGCGGUACUCCAGGAGUAUAUACUAAAAUACAAGUUACUUAAAAUUACAAGGUAGCGGUACUCCAGGAGUAUAUACUUAAAUACAAGUUAGUUAAAAUUACAAGGUAGCGGUACUCCAGGAGUAUAUACUUAAAUACAAGUUAGUUAAAAUUACAAGGUAGCGGUACUCCAGGAGUUUAUACUUAAAUACAAGUUAGUUAAAAUUACAAGGUAGCAGUACUCCAGGAGUAUAUACUAAAAUACCACAAGUCAGUUAAAGUUACAAGGUAGCAGUACUACAGGAGUAUAUACUAAAAUACCACAAGUCAGCUAAAGUUACAAGGUAGCGGUACUCAAGGAGUAUGCACUAAAAUACCCCAAGUAUCAAUAGUGUGGCGUGAUUGUACCUAUAAUCUGGCAUAGCUAAUUAGUUUAUUAUUUCUGAUACAUUACUGAGGCACCCGUAUGGGGUUUUAUACACACUCUUGUCGCAAAUAUGUUAUACAUUAGCCACGUCCCAACGGAAAACCCCUGGUUUAAAAGGGACGGAUCGAUUGCUCUUCACCUGGUUAAUUUCCUCAGUCUAGCUUGAUUGUACCUUAACGUAUAAUCAGGCAUAACUAAUUAGUUUAUCUGCAAGAAUCUGUUCUAUAGAUACAAGACAGUAUGUGAUGAUUUAGUGGUACUGCACGGGAAUUAUACUAAGAGUACAGGACAGUAGAGGUUACAGUGAGGCGGUACAACAGAAAUCUUGUUUAAAAGUACAACACGGGAGAGAUGAAAUAAACUAGUACCACAGUACUAGAAACAAUAAAAUUGUCCCACAGGAACAUGUACUGUUAUACGACUAUAAAGUUUAUAUAAAAAUGCUUUGGUACUAAAGUAUUAUUUACUGUAAGCGUACUUACUUUCAAUUUAUUUUUUAUUUCCGAAAAAGCAAUACAGAAUAAAGGUUAAAUGUGUACAUAAUACACAAAACAUAUUACAGUUUUCAAGAUGGCGGAGGACAAUUCCAUAUUCCGUAAAUAAGUACCUAAUUUUCAUUACAUUUUACAUGACAAUAAUUCCAUUAACUUAAUUGUUCAAUGUGUGUGUGUCUCGGUUCAGAAUAAUGUGCAGGACUAGUAAUAAAUAAAUGUAUCCCAUGUUCUAUAUCAGUCUUGUCGCAAGCUGAACAUAUUAUUUGACCUCUUGGAUUUAACGGACACAAAUUUUAGCAUGUAUGUCGAAUUUUAACAUAUUAGCGCACUCACAAAAUAUGCAAUAAAAACUAUAUUUAGAACAUUCAAUUAGCGAGGUCGUAAAUAAGCGCAAAGUUUAAAGCGCUUAAAACGCAAAAAUGAGAAUACCGCUUAAAUAGGUACGUUUACGGUUUAUCUUGUUUGCGAAAACAAUGUGAAAUAGUGCAACAUUACCACGCAAACAUUAUGCCUUGAGCAUUUAAAGCGUCUUACAAUACCAUCACAGUUGAUUUAUAAAUAGCUCUUGUGAUUGCCAACUCGAUUUGGUAAAUAAUGUAUAUUGGUGUUCCCAUGCUAAGAUAAACAUUGUAUUUUGAAGAUUUCCUUGUAAAAUCUGGUAUAUGUGAAGUGCCCUUAUCUGUGUCUUGUUCACUAUUAUUUCUAUCACCAAUAAAAUGCCUUACAAUUU
rnacentral:lncRNA from 1 species